AAAAUAGAAAAGGUCAGUGGACCAAAGUUUAUAAUAAUAAUACUAGUAAUAGGAAAACCAUUUUCAUUGUGAACAUACUAACCCCCUGUUUUGAAAACAUAUAUAAUACUACAUAUAGGUUUUAUAAAAACCCUAGCAUGCCACACAAAAUCUUCGUAAAACAUGUACGUUUAAAAUCAUGCUCAAUAAUGCUGAAAACGUCGCUUGAAGGCAAAUCAGUAAAUCUCAUCAGUGAAGUA
rnacentral:lncRNA from 1 species